GUUAUUUUCUCCAUUCAUAUAAUAAUUACCUUGUUCUUUCAGCUUUCUGGCAGUAUUGGUAGCAAUUCUACAAGGAAGGAAGAAAUUGUGAGGAUACAAAAAGUCUUAACAUAUCUAUUCUGAAGAAACUAGGGAGGAUCCCUUCUGAAAUGUUUCCCAUGCCUUCCCUCCUUCUGUAGCUGAGAUUAUCUUUUUCAUGCUGGUUGUCCAAAGGAGCAUGACUUUGGAGAGCUUGUUUGGCAUCAUGAUUAAAAGCAUGGAAGUUACAACUGGAAGUUCCAGUCCUGGUUUAAGCAUAAAAUCACCUGAAUACCUUCGCCAACCAGCUUCUCGGUUACCAAGAAACCUGCAUGAACUUGUCCACAUACCUGCAUAAUACUGUGAACAUCUUUCAUUAAAAUGUUUACGCAAAAAGUAUAUUCAUCACUUUAACAGCAUAGUAAUUUAGAAACCUUGGGGACACUAUUAAAGUUGAUCUUUUGCAACAAUAUUUUGAAUAGAUUUCUUGAGCAAGAUGUAGAUCCACCCUGUAUUUGAGUUACAAUUGCAUUAUCUGACAUUUUCAAUAAAGAUUAACUUAGUCAAUCUGGUAAAAACAAAGAUAUUUUGAGUGGUUUCCAACAAGUCCUUAAUUAAUCAUUGCAUACAAGUAGUCAUUCACAGAUAAAUUUUCAGUUG